ensembl:lncRNA
AAUUCAGGUGACUGCUAUCUAGACACCUGGGGUGGCGUGUUUUCUUUGGGAUGCAUAAUACAGAAAGGCCAGGGAGCCUUUGGCUUGGACCCCAGGGAGCUAUCGAAACUUUUGAAGUUUAAGUUUAGGAGUAAGAACAUAUCUCAGACCACCUUAGUCAGCUUUGCUAAUGGGAUUUAGGGCCAGGCCAGAGUGUCUUUUCCUAACUGUUCCUGAAAAGGGAGAUGGUGUGAAACAAGAUUCUGAUAAUGGUUUGUGUGAGAUUUGAUCAUAGUCUAAAACUAUCAUGUCUUGAGUUGCCUUAGGAUGACAGUGCAGACACCCAGUAGGAAGUACCCCAUUUUUAUCAGGAAAGUCAGUCACGCGAAGGGAUGGUGAGGAGACGAGGGGAGAGGAGGGAGACUUGGUGCCCUUGCACCAGGGUGAGGCCUGACUCACGCUGCUUCCCCCCACAGGCCCUGCUUUGCUUGCCUGCUUUUUCCAGAGUCGAUUUUGCAAGUUUCAAGACUCUGUUCCCCUCUUUGCAGAAGUGAGGAAGGCAAAUACUCAGGGUUUGAAGAGAGACCUGGCUGGCUCGAGGGCUGGCAGAUGCGAGGGCAGGACACCUGGGAUGGACUUGUAGGCUGGCCCAGGCCCAAAGGGGGCUGCCUGCUCCCAACUCUUUCACUCUGUAACCCAUUUUAAAAUGAGUUUUUGAAUCUUGCCUCAAAUUGACCUACUUGGAUAAAAUCAGUGCUUUUCCUAACUUGAUUUUGUUUGACAUGGUUCCCUCUAAGAGAAUGCUAGGAAUUGAAACUAUUUGUAUAUGUUGAAAUUUGUAGGGGUUCAGGAACCCAUGGCAGAAACAUAUUUAUUUACAAGUAUGACUAUUUUUUUUUCAAAGUAGGCAAUUCUGUCUUUGUAUAUUUUAAGGCAAAUAAUCACUUCACCUCUGGUGCCUUCCAUGCGUCACAUAAGCACUCUUGUCAAUCAUGGAAUUGGAAAAAAAGAUGUACAUUUAGUUAAGCCAGAUAACACUAUUUUUAUAGCAUGAUUUUAGAUUGUGUCCUUUUAAUAUUGUUUUCAACAAUGGUAGUUUUGAGGUUUUGGCCAUUUUCUCUUUACACUUCGUAUGUAUUUUAAAGAAGGAAAAAACAACAAAAAAAUUCCCUGGCUAUUCCUCUUUCCUCUCUGCUGCUGCUUCUCCCACAUCUUGUUCCUGCUUAUUUAAAUAGUCUGAGAGUAAGAGUAUAUUUCUGUGAAAUAAUUAUAAGUCAGUAUAAUUGCAUUGGCAUUUUUUAACCACUUGCUCAGUUUGGAGCCACUGCUCACCUCAAACAGUACAAAGAAAGUGGUUCCAUAUUUUACAAACAAAAGAGUAGCAUCAGAGCCCUGACCUGUCUUUGGGUGUAAAAUGGUGAAAGGCCGGUGUCUGGCUCCUUCCCCUGUGGUUUGGGCUGGUGAACUGAGCCCAGGUGUAUUCUCUGGCCUGGGCCCCUUCCAGGAUCAGUGCAGGCGUCCUGCAGAGGCGCGGCCUUCCUGCCACUACAGAGUGGGAAGCUUCCCGGGGGACCUCAGCCGGCUCCGGAGCUCUCACCUUCCACUCGGAUCUCGUAUUGGUUCGUUGUGGAUGCUCUGGCUAGGCUUGGUGGCAUAUUCCAGGCUUCAGGCCUGAACAAAACAGGCUGCUUGCUGUGAGGAGCUAGAUGACACCAAGACACAGACAUAUACUCUUCAGCAGCUCCUUUCGCCUCUCCUUCCUGCAGGGCGUGAGUUAUGGCUGGUCCCAAAACCCUUGAAUAAACUAGCUGAGCCAUUGCAAAUGAAGGUACAGAUGGAUUGAAACAUAAAAUCGUAGCUUUUGAUGUCCUUCUGAAGGGUCAGAAUAUGUAAUUAUUUGAUAACCAAGGAAGUCAAGCCAGAUGGCUAAGUAGUAACUUUCCAAUAUGAUUUAUCCGUGGUACUUCACCUGGUGGCACUUUUGGGGGGCAAUAUUAACAACUAUCACAUUUUACUUGUUAAGUCUCUUUCAUUCUGGCAGUUUAAAGACACAACUGUGGGCUUUCUGAGGCAAUGCCCAUUGGGCAAACUUAGGUUUAUGUGUUUGGUUUUUCAGCUACGGAAGCCCUGGGUGGGUGCCCCCUGGCUGGCCCUGGCUCUUGGGUUCAAGUCUGUAUGUCUGGAGUGGGUUGGGGCCCCAAAGCUUUGCUGCUAUUGAUUUGUCCCCGACAGCAGGCAAAGCCUCACAUUGCCCUCAAUUUUCCCCCUUUCAUUUGAAGGACCAAUUUUUCACGGUACUUGUCUUGAUCUUUUUCAUAGUGUUCAAAUCUGUAUUUUUGUAUGUAGAGGAAAAUAAUUUUCUCAACACUAAUCGUUAAUAACUAUUGUAUUAAAUCGUCAUGAAGGAACUCUUGUUUAAUAAAUGGACGUGUAAG